UACAGAGGUGGCAAGCGUUGUUCGGAAUUACUGGGCGUAAAGGGCGCGUAGGCGGUUCGAUAAGUCCCGUGUGAAAGCCCCCGGCUCAGCUGGGGAACUGCACGGGAAACUGACGGACUUGAGUUCGGGAGAGGGAAGCGGAAUUCCGGGUGUAGCGGUGAAAUGCGUAGAUAUCCGGAGGAACACCGGUGGCGAAGGCGGCUUCCUGGACCGACACUGACGCUGAGGCGCGAAAGCUAGGGGAGCAAACGGG
rnacentral:rRNA from 1 species